rnacentral:lncRNA from 1 species
CAGGGAGGCUGACAUGGUGCCGUCGAUACACCUAGGAGCAUCUGCAGAUCCAGACGAGUUUGCGGCGGCGGAGCUACUACUCGCUUGGACCGGUCGUUUAUCUUGCCGCGCGGGUCGUCGUCGACGUGGGGAACGUCUUCGUCGCCGCAGCCUUCGUUGACGGCAGGCCCGAGCAAUGAGCGGAGAACGGGAGCUGUCCAGCAACAGCUAUGGCUAGCA